CCCAAAACAUGAUUAACCUCGCCGCAUUUAGCGCCUGUCCUAAGUCAGGAAACUCUGGCCUUUGUUAGUCUUGUAUAAUUUUUUAAAUUUAAUCUCAAUUAUAUGUUUUGGACGUUUAUAUGUAUGUGUGACGCCCAUUUUCACUGAACUAAUGCAUAAUUUUUGGAAAGUUUGCUAUAGCUUGCUAUAACUACUUUCCAUAGGCGUCGGCCUAAACUUUUGGUGAGACAGACUAUCGCAAUGUUCUGCUCCAAGAUAAUGUAGUACUACUGUUUGAAUUCUGAUUCUUGGAUAUUUUGAGUUGCUACUCUUUUGAAAAGAUGACAGCUUGAAUAAAAAAAAGAAUGAAUGUUCAUCGACAAUUCAGAUGAAUUAAACUUCAUUUUGAAAAUAAGUAUCACAAACACUACUUUGCGAUCGGUCAUUGGCUGAAGAGAAAAUCAAAAGAAAUCUACGCGAGACGGCUUCAUUCAUGAAUAUUUCAUGAAUGAACAUUUUCCCGCACUAUUUUUUACUAUGUACGAUAUUUACAACUGUUUAUUAUUGAAUAAAUAAAAGCCC
rnacentral:lncRNA from 1 species